rnacentral:lncRNA from 1 species
AUACCUUGGCUACAAUCACCAUCAGAACGAGUGAUCGAGUUUUCAAUGUUAAGGCUAUUUGGGGAAGACCCAUCUUCAUUUGAUUCCAUAUCAUGUUCUUGAGGAUUACUCUCAUAUGUGUCCCUUUGCGAGAUAUUUGAAUUAAUUUCAGGUUCUUGUUGCUUUAGCCUUUUCGAACUCCUCAAACUCUUCGAACUCUUCGGACUCUUCGAACUCUUAGAACUCUUACCUUUCUUUGACAUCUUCGAACUCUUCGAACUCUUGCUUUUCUCAAACUCUUCUAUACCGUAAUAUA